CACCGCCUGUCGCUACUACUAAUUAAAUAGCUUAGUGAGGCCUUUAGACUAGCUUAGGGAGGUUAGUAAUAACUACCCUAAGCUAGAAAGUUUGUUAAACUUAGUUAUUUAGAGGAAGUAAAAGUUGUAACAAGGUUUCUAUAGGUGAACCUGCAGAAG
rnacentral:rRNA from 1 species